UUGACUUUUUGAUUGACUUUGAGUAAAUGUGUAAAGAUUCGAUCUUUAUCAAUUGAGUUUGCUUCCUACGCCAUUAUUUGAUGAUUUUGAGUUGCUUUUGGUUAGUUUCGAGCCGUUCAGAGGAUGAUUUGAGCGGGAUGACGCUUCUAGUGUAUCGACUUGGCUUGCUUGAGAUUCUGGAGCAGAGCUGCGGUAGAUGGCGGGGGCUGACUCUGAAGAUGUUCGUGCCUAAUGUGGCUACCACUUGUCCCUGGAUAGUUCUAGAGUUGAAUUCUAUAUAUGUACAUUUCAAAUAGAAUUUGUAUUUAUUUCAUAUCCGUUUUUACAAUAAUCCAGUCUUAGUAACUCAUGUCUUGUACUACCAGUCCUUGGGUUAUUGUUUGGAAUCCAGAUAUAUCGAUUGUUGAUUACAUUUA